UUUUGCUGGAGAUCCCUGCAUACCUGAGCUCUUCUGCAGGUGAGGGGGUUGCAGCCAGGAGGAGCCUUCCAUGCCUGGAGACAUGAGCACUGUCCUGCAGCCCUACUGAGGAUGCUGAAGUGACCUUUUCUCUUCUACAUGAAAAACAGCAUCCACCAAAACCAACUAAAUGCAGAGAAAUUAAGGGCUGCAGUGACAGCCACCAUGUGCUCUGGAGGGACCUGGCAGAGGUGGACAAGGCAUACCAAUAUUUGGAAGCACCUCAGAUGGAGUCAGCCAGGAGAGAUCAAGUGCUCCAUAAAAGUGACGUGUGGGUGGACACACUGUCUGUAUUUCAAAGUAGCUCUGGCCAGAAGUGAUGCUAAGGGGAAAGUAAGAGGUAAAAGAGGAAUGUGUGCUUUAUGAUGCAGGAGUAAUUCAGGCUUCUAGCACUGGAGGACCUACUACAAGACUAAUUAAAGGCCUCGUUUGUGGUUUCAAGGAGGCCAUUAUAACACUCAAAGCUCCCUGAAAUAUCAGUGUUGUAGGCAUGCCCUGCUCUUCUUUAAUAAUCUUUAACUUCUUUAAUAACCUUUAAGAUCAUCUAGUUCCAACCCCCUACUAUAGGCAGAGAUACCUCCCUCUAGACCAGGUAGCUCAAAGCCCCAUCCUGCUGGUCAUGGCCUAGCUUGGCCUCCUGGCUAAGCAGAAGCCAACAGCUCCUGUCAAAGCAAGCUUCUGGGCUGCUAGACGGACAAAUAACAUGUCCUGGGAGGAAGCUAUGGCACGUGCUUCAGGGAGUUAGGUAUGUACAGCAUGUGUUUUAGUAUUUUUAACCCACAUGUUAGGUCAGAACACGUUUGGUUACAU
rnacentral:lncRNA from 1 species